GACGAACCGUACGAACGUUAUUCGGAAUCACUGGGCUUAAAGGGUGCGUAGGCUGUGCGGAAAGUUGGGUGUGAAAUCCCUCGCUUAACCGAGGAACUGCGCCCAAAACUACCGUGCUCGAGGGAGACAGAGGUGAGCGGAACUUAGGGUGGAGCGGUGAAAUGCGUUGAUAUCCUAAGGAACACCGGUGGCGAAAGCGGCUCACUGGGUCUCUUCUGACGCUGAGGCACGAAAGCUAGGGGAGCGAACGGG
rnacentral:rRNA from 1 species